rnacentral:rRNA from 1 species
GAUCUUUAUUUUUAUUUUUUAUAAAUUAAUUAGAUUAAAAAUUUUUAUAAUAAAUUUAAAAAUUUUAUUGGGGUGAUAUUAAAAUUUAAUAAACUUUUAAUUUUUUUUUACAUUAAUAUAUGAAUUAUUGAUCCAAUUUUAUUGAUUAAAAAAUUAAGUUACCUUAGGGAUAACAGCGUAAUUUUUUUUUAGAGUUCAUAUCGACAAAAAAGAUUGC